rnacentral:tRNA from 1 species
GCCGGCUUGGCCGGCGAGGGUUGGGUCGGUGCUGUCGGCGCCGGUGCGGCCGGUGCCGCCUUGGCCUCCGGUUCCGCCGGUGCCGGUUCC